UAUAGAGAAAAUUGAAGAAACCAUACCAAAAUUAUGUUUGUUUUAAAACUUGAGAUUACAUAGACAGUAUUUUGCGUAGGACAUGAGCCGUUCCCAUGAGCACUAGCUUUUCAAUUUCUGCCAUUUUGGGGUUUCCUGGUAUCUGAG